rfam:Bacilli bacterium VT-13-104 contig029, whole genome shotgun sequence.
UCUAACUUAACAACGUAAGCCCUACCUGCUCUUACGUCCUUGCGUCCCCUUAGACGCGCCAGUGUGAAUAAGCAUCUUCAAAAACAU